rnacentral:rRNA from 1 species
UACUCGAGUGGCGAACGGGUGAGUAACACGUGGGUGAUCUGCCCUGUACUUUGGGAUAAGCCCGGGAAACUGGGUCUAAUACCGAAUAUGACCACUUCUUGGAUGGGGUGGUGGAAAGCUUUUGCGGUAUGGGAUGAGCUCGCGGCCUAUCAGCUUGUUGGUGGGGUAAUGGCCUACCAAGGCGUCGACGGGUAGCCGGCCUGAGAGGGUGUACGGCCACAUUGGGACUGAGAUACGGCCCAG